rnacentral:misc_RNA from 1 species
CGACCUUCAGGCCCGCCUCCUGCCUUGCGCAGCGAGGGCCGGGGCCUGGCGUUGGGGCGCUACAGCGCCGCGUAUGCGGCCUGUAAGCCCUGAAAUACAGUGAGCGGGCCUCUGAGCAACCCGAGCGUAGUAGAACCUACCCGCUCAGGGCUGUCCUUCCAGGGCGCCUAGCCGUGAAGUUAUUACCUAGUACCUGCCUCUUAGGCAGCGAAACCCCCAAA